rnacentral:rRNA from 1 species
UACGUAGGGGGCAAGCGUUGUCCGGAAUCAUUGGGCGUAAAGCGCGUGUAGGCGGCUCGAUAAGUCUGCUGUGAAAGUCCAGGCUCAACCCUGGGGAUGCCGGUGGAUACUGUCGAGCUCGAGUCCGGAAGAGGCGAGUGGAAUCCUGGUGUAGCGGUGAAAUGCGCAGAUAUCAGGAGGAACACCGAUGGCGAAGGCAGCUCGCUGGGACGUGGAACUGACGCUGAGACGCGAAAAGCGUGGGGAGCAAACAGG